UGUAUGCCAUGUAGCUUGCUGCUGAAAUCUUGCAACUUUUUAUAGCAUGACUGUUCAGGUUUAAUGGUUUGCUCCACUUUUGUUGCUCUACAGCAUGGGUAGGCAAACUAAGGCCCGGGGGCUGGAUCCGGCCCAAUUGCCUUCUAAAUCUGGCCCGCGGACGUUCCAGGAAUCAGUGUGUUUUUACAUGAGUUGAAUGUGUCCUUUUAUUUAAAAUGCAUCUCUGGGUUAUUUGUGGGGCAUAGGAAUUGGUUCAUCCCCCCCCCCGAAAAUAUAGUCUGGCCCCCCACAAGGUCUGAGGGACAGUGGACCGACCCCCUGCUGAAAAAGCUUGCUGACCCCUGCUCUACAGUGCAAGAGUGCCCUUCAAGAUGGCAACAGUGUGAUAACAUUGGGGGAGCAUCACAGAACAACUCAUAGAAUGGAAUGAUGAGGGGGCAGUCUGGUAUAAAUCCACCAUGAAUGCACUGCUUUUGCAGAAAAUACACCUGCAAAAAUCUUCACUGGUCUGGAGGACCCCCAGUCUCAUGUCCGCAUUAAAUGCAUCCGUUCCUUCAAUAAUAGCACCACCAUAUCCUCAUGGUGACAUACACAGAAUGGUAGGACGACCAAUUCUAGGAUCAGUCCCAUAAAGUUAGGCUUGGCCUCAACACAUGGGUGACAUUAAGCCCCACACAGAAAGUUCCAAAUAAGCAAUUUACUCUGGGGCGUAUGUGCCCACAAUAGUAUAGUAAUAUUCCCCUACUUUAGAUGCCAUCUUUCACACUGUCUGUUGUCCAAGACACUCAAAUGAGUUGCAUAAUUUAAUUACUGAGAUAAGGAACACAGCAAAAGUAAAUGAAGGAUGAUGUGUAUAGUAGGAAGUAUGCAGAAAAGUAUGUGAUGUGCCUUCUGUAAAAGCUACAAGCUUAAUACGCUCACAGCUAAAUGAGAACAAAUGAGCUUGAAAUGCAAAAACAAUGUUUCCCCUUGAGAUUCCUUCAACAUUCUUGGAGUUUUUAAAUGCACACUUUCCUGCACUGUUUUCCAGGAUCUCUAAGGUUGUAAGAGUGAUGAUUCUUAAGGCACAAAGCUUUCAGUGAAUUUUGUUUCUUCAGUCCUGCAAUCAGGCAUUGUUCACAUACUUUCCUACUGAAGGGUUGUCCCUCUAAAAUUGAACCCCAAAACAUAUUCACUACAAAGGGAAAGUCAAUUGUGAGAUGUGGAUUUUUUGUGGGGGGAGAACAGAGAUAGGUAUCUCUCCUUCAUGUCGUCCUUCGCAGUGAAAUGUGAACAUCAAGGAAACUGUAUUACAUCUAUCUUUCUUUUUUACAUUUGGGACUCCAUCACCUUUUGCCCCAGUGCUCAAUCCUUGUCUGCUAUCAAAAGAUCUCUUUAGAUUUCAAAAAGUAAAUGUGAAGGAGCACCAGGACUUUUUUUUUCCAGCCGGAACUCACCAGAACUCAGUUCUGACACCUCUCAGUUGGGCGCCAUCGCCAUUAGAAGAGAACAAGAGAGAUGUUCAUGGUGCUGGUACCUCUUUUUCUAGAGAAAUAGCACUGUGGAGCAGCUCAUCACAUACUGGAAGUCACUUCCAUACCAGCAAAAACCUGCCUGAGUUCUACCUAAGGUAAAGUUGGACAAAGUUGUUGGCAUCCGUCUGUCUUGAGAGACAAUGGUACUGGAUCCAGAAAGGCUCAGGACUGCCAGCUCCUCCUUACUCCAACUGUUCACCACAACGCUGUAUAGAUUUUCCUUGGUCCAAUGGGAGACGAUGUCUGGAAUUUUCAGAGGUAAAAAGUGGAUGGGGGUGAAACAUUCCUCCCCUCAAAAAAAAAA